rfam:Triticum aestivum genome assembly, contig: Triticum_aestivum_CS42_TGACv1_scaffold_404294_5BL
UAUAUACUCCCUCCGUCCGGAAAUACUCGUCGAAGAAAUGCAUAAAAAUGAAUGUAUCUAAAACUAAAAUACGUCUAGAUACAUCCAUUCCGUCGACGAGUAUUUCCGGACGGAGGGAGUAUAAA